UGCAAUGAAGGUGAUGUCUUUUUGGCGUC
rnacentral:piRNA from 1 species